AGGAGGACUUGUGGGCGUGGCA
rnacentral:miRNA from 1 species